GUACUUGUCCCAAUUUUGGCGCUGUUUUGAGGCCCAUUUCACAGUUACCCCCUUUAGCUUCACCUACUUCGCAGAAUAAUCAUCGUAAGAGAAGUUCACCACAAACUGGUACUUGUUCAAAUUCGCAACAAUUUGGAGUGGUGAACACUUCUCCGCGAUUCUGCGGCGAAAUGGGAUAUUCACCACUCCAAACAGCUCAAGCAAUUGCUACACAUACGGGUUUGAAUCAACAACAUUUGAUGUUGUCGGGUGGGAAAGAGGAUUU
rnacentral:misc_RNA from 1 species